rnacentral:rRNA from 1 species
UACGUAGGGCGCAAGCGUUGUCCGGAAUUAUUGGGCGUAAAGGGCUCGUAGGCGGUUUGUCGCGUCGGAAGUGAAAACACGGGGCUUAACUCUGUGCUUGCUUUCGAUACGGGCAGACUAGAGGGAUGCAGGGGAGAACGGAAUUCCUGGUGUAGCGGUGAAAUGCGCAGAUAUCAGGAGGAACACCGGUGGCGAAGGCGGUUCUCUGGGCAUUCCCUGACGCUGAGGAGCGAAAGUGUGGGGAGCGAACAGG